rnacentral:ncRNA from 1 species
GAGGGCAAACUCAUUGAGAGGUGGGGACGCAAAGCUAGAAGUCUAAACUGAAAAGAUAGAUAGUUCGGUUGC